rnacentral:lncRNA from 1 species
UGGGUUGAGGACCUUUGUGCCAAUAUUCCCCUUUUUGAUUGUAUUUUUUAUUUUGAGUUUUUAGUUAGUGUAGUAGUUUACUUUUGUUUUUAUUAUAUUGCUCUUUUGGUUGAAGAAUGGCUCUUAUUUCUAUUUUGUUCUCUCUUUUAAUUUUUCAAUCCCCGGUUAGUUUUGAAAAUUCUGAAGUGAUUGGAGUUUUUAUUGAU